UGUUAAAAACUUCAUCCAUUUCUAUUGUAAAAAACUAGCAUGGCUGAUAGAAGAACCAGAUAGUUACACGUGGCACGCGUAUCUCAUUCUAACGUGCAAGGAUCAGUUUUUAACCGUAGAAAUUGAUGGAUUUUUAAACA
rfam:Gossypium raimondii Chr13_contig_1325, whole genome shotgun sequence.